CCCCUCCUCGCGAGUUGGUGCCGCUGCCACCUCCGAUUCCGAGCUUUCGGCACCUCUGCCGGGUGGUACCGAGCCUUCCCGGCGCCCCCUCCUCUCCUCCCACCGGCCUGCCCUUCCCCGCGGGACUAUCGCCCCCACGUUUCCCUCAGCCCUUUUCUCUCCCGGCCGAGCCGCGGCGGCAGCAGCAGCAGCAGCAGCAGCAGGAGGAGGAGCCCGGUGGCGGCGGUGGCCGGGGAGCCCAUGGCGUACAGUCAAGGAGGCGGCAAAAAAAAAGUCUGCUACUACUACGACGCCUUCACCCUGCCAUUUCUAGUGAAUCUGUGAUAUUGGAAAUUAUUAUUAUGGACAGGGUCAUCCCAUGAAGCCUCAUAGAAUCCGCAUGACCCAUAACUUGCUGUUAAAUUAUGGCUUAUACAGAAAAAUGGAAAUAUAUAGGCCCCAUAAAGCCACUGCCGAAGAAAUGACAAAAUAUCACAGUGAUGAGUAUAUCAAAUUUCUACGGUCAAUAAGACCAGAUAACAUGUCUGAGUAUAGUAAGCAGAUGCAGAGAUUUAAUGUUGGAGAAGAUUGUCCAGUGUUUGAUGGACUCUUUGAGUUUUGUCAGCUCUCAACUGGCGGUUCAGUUGCUGGAGCUGUGAAGUUAAACCGACAACAGACUGAUAUGGCUGUUAAUUGGGCUGGAGGAUUACAUCAUGCUAAGAAAUCAGAAGCAUCAGGAUUCUGUUACGUUAAUGAUAUUGUGCUUGCCAUCCUUGAAUUACUAAAGUAUCAUCAGAGAGUCUUAUAUAUUGAUAUAGAUAUUCAUCAUGGUGAUGGUGUUGAAGAAGCUUUUUAUACAACAGAUCGUGUAAUGACGGUAUCAUUCCAUAAAUAUGGGGAAUACUUUCCUGGCACAGGAGACUUGAGGGAUAUUGGUGCUGGAAAAGGCAAAUACUAUGCUGUCAAUUUUCCAAUGAGAGAUGGUAUAGAUGAUGAGUCAUAUGGGCAGAUAUUUAAGCCUAUUAUCUCAAAGGUGAUGGAGAUGUAUCAACCUAGUGCUGUGGUAUUACAGUGUGGUGCAGACUCAUUAUCUGGUGAUAGACUGGGUUGUUUCAAUCUAACAGUCAAAGGUCAUGCUAAAUGUGUAGAAGUUGUAAAAACUUUUAACUUACCAUUACUGAUGCUUGGAGGAGGUGGCUACACAAUCCGUAAUGUUGCUCGAUGUUGGACAUAUGAGACUGCAGUUGCCCUUGAUUGUGAGAUUCCCAAUGAGUUGCCAUAUAAUGAUUACUUUGAGUAUUUUGGACCAGACUUCAAACUGCAUAUUAGUCCUUCAAACAUGACAAACCAGAACACUCCAGAAUAUAUGGAAAAGAUAAAACAGCGUUUGUUUGAAAAUUUGCGCAUGUUACCUCAUGCACCUGGUGUCCAGAUGCAAGCUAUUCCAGAAGAUGCUGUUCAUGAAGACAGUGGAGAUGAAGAUGGAGAAGAUCCAGACAAGAGAAUUUCUAUUCGAGCAUCAGACAAGCGGAUAGCUUGUGAUGAAGAAUUCUCAGAUUCUGAGGAUGAAGGAGAAGGAGGUCGAAGAAAUGUGGCUGAUCAUAAGAAAGGAGCAAAGAAAGCUAGAAUUGAAGAAGAUAAGAAAGAAACAGAGGACAAAAAAACAGACGUUAAGGAAGAAGAUAAAUCCAAGGACAACAGUGGUGAAAAAACAGAUACCAAAGGAACCAAAUCAGAACAGCUCAGCAACCCCUGAAUUUGACAGUCUCACCAAUUUCAGAAAAUCAUUAAAAAGAAAAUAUUGAAAGGAAAAUGUUUUCUUUUUGAAGACUUCUGGCUUCAUUUUAUACUACUUUGGCAUGGACUGUAUUUAUUUUCAAAUGGCUUUUUCGUUUUUGUUUUUCUUGGCAAGUUUUAUUGUGAGUUUUUCUAAUUAUGAAGCAAAAUUUCUUUUCUCCACCAUGCUUUAUGUGAUAGUAUUUAAAAUUGAUGUGAGUUAUUAUGUCAAAAAAACUGAUCUAUUAAAGAAGUAAUUGGCCUUUCUGAGCUGAUUUUUCCAUCUUUUGUAAUUAUCUUUAUUAAAAAAUUGUACUUGGAUUAUCUUUUGUCUGUUUAUUACUACAAUAUGAAGUCUUGUUUCAGUGGCUAAUGACAUCAUUUCUGUAGACUUACAAUACACUCUAGGUGAAAGAUAAUGAUUACAGCUUGAAAGAUAACUAUUUGCUGUUUCUUUGGGAAGAGUAUUUAUAGUAAUUAUUACUUAUCUUUGCAAUAGAAAUUCUACCACCUUGCCCUCUAUAGCUUAGCCAGUUAGUAUCAGUGAAGAUUAACAUCCCAUUACAAUUUAUGAAAUAAUACAGACUCUGCAAUUGAGAUGUAGGAGUUCUUUGAGUUGACCCAAAGAUUCUCAAAAUUGAAAUGGAAAUUCUGAAUUGAAAGAAGAAACUGACCAGAACUUGUAUUGACCAGACUUGCCUAUAGUAUAUUGCUGGUUUAAAAUGGAACCUGCAGACAAAACCUGUUUCUUUUACUGCAUUUACAUGGCAUCCAGGUUCCAUUAUUAUUUACGUGACAUCCAGGUUUCUAACUCAAGGAAAUAAACACAACUGAUUUAUCAUUCAGCAACUACUUAUUGUGUGUCUGCCCAUUUUAAGACUGUAGGAGUGUAACUGAAUAUAAUGGAAAAAUGCUUUCACUCAGAGCUUACACUCAGAGCUUACAUUCUAGUAGCAGGAAGCAGACAAAUGGGGGUAACUCCUGCUACUAAGAUGUGCAAAGAAGACAAAACAUUUUAGGAACUUGCCAAAAUCAGUGAAAUCUCCCUUUUUGUCAGGCCCACAUUGAUUCUUUUGAGAUUAAAAAUUACAGAAUGCCAGAAGAUAAUUCAGUCAAAAGUAUUUCUCUUCAGUGCAGUAAAAUAUUAAAAGAAAAAAUAUUUCUCUACAAGCCUCUUAAAUGUUUCAGACAUUCACAAUAGCACCUAGACUUUUGUAAUGAACAGCUGUGCACCCACCCCGACUUAACAAAUAUUUUACUUUUGCUAUAUUUGCUUCGGUGUUUUUUUCUUAAAAUACACCGAAAUUGAAGCUCUCUUUGUGUACUUUGUCGUUUGUAAUCCUCCCUCCCUCCCAGCCUUAAGAAGUAAUCACCAUUGUGAUUAUUUUAUCCAUGUUUUUGUGAAUAUUUUACCCAUGUUUUUGUACUUUUGCUACAUAUUUGUUAUCAAUCUGUAAACCUUUAUGACAUUAGGAACUAAGAAACUUAGUCCCUUCGUUAGGGGGAUAAUGAAAUGUAUUUAGUGUUUGUGAAACAUAGAUGGUAUGUAUUUGGACAAUUCUGUAACUUUGCUUUUUUUAUUUUUAUUUUUCCAUAGCUUAUUGGGGAACAGGUGGUGUUUGGUUACAUGAUUAAGUUCUUUAGUGGUGAUUUGUGGGAUUUUGGUGGACCCAUCACCCAAGCAGUGUACACUGCACCCUAUUUGUAAUCUUUUAUCCCUCGCCCCCCUCCCACCAUGCCUCCCGUCUACCAUGAUGAUCCUGUUUUAAAUAAGAAAAUACCAUUUCGCAGGCUCCAGAUGUUCUGGCAUCCUCCCUGUGGAUUUCCCAGUGCCUGCAGCUCACAGGACAACAGGGGCUGUGGUAGAGUCACCUAUGAGAUCCUGGAGUAGUGGAUGGAGGAGAUGGAACAGUGAAGACGGAAACUGAGCUCAGUAUCCGGGUGCCAGGAGACAAAGGCCCUUUGCUUUUUUUCAUUUAAUAUUCUGAUCUACCCCUGUUGACACAUGUUAAGUAUAGUUCAUUUUGACUGCUAUGUAUUAUGUUCCAUUGUGUGAACAUACUGAAAUUGUACACUUCAAUACUAUACUGGAUCUCCUUGGGUGUAUUUAAGAGGUUUUGUUUUUCUAAGUAGUUGGUUAUAUACAACUAAAACCUCAAGAGAACUAUCUAAAGCAAUUUCAGCAAGGUGAUUUGGUACAGCAUUAAUAAACAGAAAUCAGUAACACUUAGUGACCAAGUCUGUUGGAAGAACAAAGACCCCCAUUUGUAAUAACAAAAUUUUUAGAAAUAAUAUGUAAAGAAGCUAUGGUUCUUGUGUCUAGUAAGGUCAAUGUAACAUAGUAAGAUGUCAGAAUACCCUAAUACUUUAAAAAAUUCAUAUAGGAUAAAAAUGAUAUUUGAAAUUGGCAAGGAAAGACAUUAUUUUGUAAGUGGAAUUGGGACAACAACUGGUAACCAAAUGGAAAACCCAGUUUUCUGCCCUCCACUAGAAGAUUUAAAUAGGAAAAGAUAAAACUACCAAAAACCUAAACUCUUAAAGCAAAUGGAUUGAAGAAGGCCUAAGUGUGACACCAAACUCAACUAUAAAAGAUAUAUUUGAUAACAAAAAAAAAAUUAGUUCAGUGGACCAACAAAAACUUAGAAGACAAGUCAAGAAAAAUGACAAAAGACAGAGUGGGAGGCAGAUUUGUAACUCAUCCAGGUCAAAAGGCUCAUAUCUAAAGAUAGUAGAGGAACAAAAUGUAUAAGGAUGUGAACUGGGAAACAAAUACAUAUAAAUAGUUUGUAAAUAUGAAAAGAUCUUUAACCUCAGUAAAUAAAAAGCUAUAGAGAGACUUAUUUUUUAACUUAGUUUUUUAAACCUAUUAUGUUUAUUUAUUUUUUCUUUUUUUGAGACGGAGUCUCGCUGUUGCCCAGGCUGGUGUGCAAUGGCGCAAUCUCGGCUCACUGCAACCUCCGCCUCCCAGGUUGAAGCCAUUCUCCUGCCUCAGCCUCCUGAGUAGCUGGGAUUACAGGCGCCUGUCACCACGCCCAGCUAAUUGUUCGCAUUUUUAGUAGAGACGGGGUUUCACUAUGUUGGCCAGGCUGGCCUCGAACUCCUGACCUCAUGAUCCACCCACCUUGGCCUUCCAAAGUGCUGGGAUUACAGGUGUGAGCUGCCGCACCUGGCUGUUUAUCUCUUUUUUUUAGAGAAAGGAUCUCGGUCACCCAGGAUGGAGUGUGGUAGCCUGAUCAUAUCUCACUACAUCUUAGAACUUCUAGGCUUAGGGUAUUCUCCCACCUCAGCCUCCCAAGUAGCUGGGACUACAAGUGUGCACCAUCACACCUAGCUGAUUUUUACAUUUUUAUUUUGGAGAGAUGGUGUCUCCCUGUGUUGCCCAGGCUGGUCACAAACUCCUAGGCUCAAGCGAUUCUCCUGACUCAGGCAUGAGCCACCGUACCCGGCCUAAACCUAUCAUGUUACAGACUUAGAAAGCAACUAUUGUCAAGUGUUUGAGGAAACUCAGGUCAGGUUUGGUAAACUAAGAUAUUAACUCAAGUAAAGCUCUUUAAUUCAUUUAAUGAAGGUGCCACAUUGUCUCAGUUCUCUAUGGCAUGGGUGAAUGCUGUUCUAAGUCAGCAUUGGUACUCUAAGCUAGUUACAUCAUAUCUAAGCUUUGCCCUUCUACCAGAGCUGCUAGCAUUCUGUCAAUGGGCAAUUAUUUGAAGUUCUUACAUUGAAGUUAGUCACCUACAUCUUCUGUUUUUUAUGGUUUUGAUGUAGUAAUACUGCUGAAGUUUUUUUGAUAACUGCGAUUCAUAAUAUUUGUUAUUCAUAUUGUGAUAUAAAUGAUAAGGGCUUUUGAAAACAAGUAGUAAUCAUUUCAAUAGCUUAGGAUCUCCACCAUAAUCUUAGGAAAAUUACUAACCUCUGUGCCUCAGUUGCUUCAUCAUUUAAAAUGAGGAAAAUAAUAGUCCCUACUUAAUAGGUUUGUUGUGAGGAUUGAGUUAAUAACAUAGUUAAUGCUCAGUAAGGGUUAGCUGCUAUUUUUUUUUCUUUUUUUUUUGAAAGAGUCUCACUCUGUUGCCCAGGUUGGAGUGCAGUGGCAUGAUCUUGGCUCACUGCAUCCUCUGCUUCCUAGGUUCAGGUGAUUCUCAUGCUUCAGCCUCCCAAGCAGCUGGGAGUACAGGUGUGCACCACCACACCUGGCUAAUUUUUGUAUAUUUAGUAGAGACGGGUUCUCACCAUAUUGUCCAGGCUGGUCUUGAACUCCUUACCUCAAAUGAUCCACCCGCCUGGGCCUCCCAAAGUGCUGGGAUUACAAGCAUGAGCCACCGCGCCUGGCUUGCUAUUGUUAUGAGGUAAAGGUAGAUAGAUGGGUGAGAGUGGUGCCAGGGGAAGUGUUAAAUUUUUGAGUGUUCCUUUAGAUGCCAGAUGGGUUGUAUCUGAGCCUUUUAUUGCAGUUUGAUGCCUACUAGUGUGAAGACUACUAGGUCAUAGUGGAUAGAGAAGCAAUCUUUUGGAGACCUGAUUUUAGCAAGGAUACGAAUAAUAUUUGACAACUUUGGGGGGAUCUUGAUGCCUCUGUAAUUUACUCAAGGAUAAUCUCAAGAAAAAUGGCAUUAAGUAGAUUACAGAAAAAAUAGAACUAUCAUAUUGUUAUUAUUGGCUAUUUACAUGAGCAAUGCGGAGAAAUGUUUAGGAUUACAGCAUUUAGAAGCUUCUCAAUUGCUGCAUUUCCUCACUGUACCACAAGAUGGCAGAUACUGCAUUUAAAAUUUUUUUUUCUGUGUGUUUUCUCUUAUAGUCACUUGGUGGCCAUGUAACAAGCAGAGCAACAUGUAUUAACAGAUUCUUUUUGAAUGCAAUAUUGGAUUAAAAACUUUGAAUUAAACUACAAUUAAGUUUACUGAUUUAGGUUUUCCUAUAAGAAUUAUAACACUAAUUUCUAAGUUUUACAUCUGCAAAACACAGUAGAGUGUAUCUGGUAGUCAUUGACUAAUUGUGACUUUGCUAGUCAGACAAAAUGGAACUGAAUAUUAGAGCCAGAAUAAUUUUCUGUUUUGACUGGUGGUAAGAAUCAGUUAGUAUACAGAAUGGGAAAGAAUUGAAAUUUAUUUCUAGGAAUUAUAGUUAUAGUGAAGUUAAUAUUCAGGGGCAUUGGGUGCUUGUUCCACGACUUUUGUUUACUGAACUAAGUACCUAACCCCUUUGGUCUUUGAACACUGCAGAGUUAUGAUUAGGAUUAUUAAUGAAAAAUUCUUUUUUAGUAGAACAAACAGUUAAGGACAGAAGACACCUUGAUUAGAUUCUGUUAUUUGCUCUUUUUAUUAAGAUUGUUUUUACUCUAAAUGUUAAAGAAAUGUAUAAUUAUUUCUAAGGUAAAAUGAGUAGCAGGAUUCUGAAUAGGAGAUUUUUUUUGGCCAGACCCAUUUUGCAGCCAGUGGUUUGUAUUUAGGAGUGAGUUGAACAAAGAAGACUCUAAUCUGUUUUUGUGUUGUGGAUUUUUUAUUCUAUUGAUAAAUCAGUAGCUUCCAGCUUCUCUUGUAUCCUCUACUAGUCAUCUUUUUUGUUUCUUCAGAAAUAAACAUCCAGGGUCACUUCCCUGCCCUUGCCAUAUACUUACUAGGAUGAUGUACAGGUAAAACUUUUAAAGGAAAGUACGGACAGGCAAUUCCUAAAGUAAAAGAGAGCACAUUAUCAAAACUGGCUGUACUUAACAAAUACCAACAAAAAGUCAUUACACUUCUGGCAACAAAUAAUGUUUGAUUUAAAAAGACAAGAAUUUCCCCUUUUGCUCUUAUUUUUUAAAUAUGCUAUGUCCUUAAGUGAGAAAUGCACUUCAAAAAUUUUCUUAUUCUGAAGUCUAGCCGGAAAGUUUGAACUUGUGUUGCCUUUGGCUAGACUAGGUGAAAUUAAGGGGCUUAAGAGGGCACUGUUGUGUGGCCCUGUGGUAGAUAAUAGCCCUCCAAGCAUGAGGAUGGGAGAUCUACCAUUCACCAGUAUUUCCAAAGUUAUAUUCUUAAAAAGGCUAGAUUUCUAAUUUCCGUAGAAUCUAGGUAUGUUCUUUUCAACUCAGCAUCUGAUAAGAAAGUUUGGGCAAGUAGGUGCGAAAAAUUUACUCUAGAUACCAUUUUCCAGGAAAAAAUAUAAUUCAAGUCCAACGUAUUACUAGCUGUCACCUUCCCCAACAAUCAAAUAAGCAUUGUUAUUGUCAAACACAUUUACUUGUAUAGUUCAGUGUUAUAUGUAAUGGACUUAGGUAUAAUUCCUGUGCUAUUCCCUUUUGAUGCCAAACACCCUUUUGUAAGCUGUUUUGUUUGAAAUCCAAAUUUAUAUGUCUUAAAGUAAAUGGCAGCAUUGGGCUUUCUUAAUGUAAUGACUCUUCUGCCAUCCUAUUUCUAGAGUUAGGCAGAAAAUUCUGUAAAUCUAUCUUAUUUCCAGUCUGUUUGUGACUAUGGUGGGCAAUAAAUCUGAUUUCCCAGAAAAACACAUCUGGACCCCUAUAGGUAAGGUAAACAAGCCUCAUCUUAAAUUGUUUGUACUUCCGACCUGACCUCAAAACACCAUCAUCAUCUAGAGCAGCAACAAGUAAAGAACAAUGCACUGGAAAUCACAUAUAUGGGUCUAGCACCAGCCUUUACAUUACACAACUUUGCUUUGGGCAAGUCAUUUAAAUUUCUGUGCUUCAGUUUACUAAAUCUAUGAAACUGACUAGGUAACAGCUGACAUGCUUUUCCAGCACUCCGUCUUUUACCUGUCUGAUGUCACAAAUUGAUCAUUCCUUUCUGGCCUUGAGAUGCGUAUCAACCCAGAUAGUCAUUAACCCAGAUAGUUGGCAUUCAGGAUAAAAUGUUUUUGCCUUUCCUGUCCUGCAAGCUCUUUAAAGUCCAAAAUAUGCCUUUAUAUCUUUAUGUGUAAUAGGUAUGAAAUCUAUUUCUUGGUUGUUGAAUAGGAUAGGCUUAUUAGACAUUCUAAAGUCAACUUUUUUCUCAUAUUUAAACAUUUACCCGUAGAAAUUCAGUUUUUUAAAGUUUUAAGUCAGUUGAUUGUACCAAACAUUACUAUUAAAAAAAAAUCAAAGUCAGAGACCAGAGUUUCCCUGCAUCAGCGUUCAGUCAGGAGACAGGAACUAUACUAAUUUGAACAUGUAAAGUUAAAUAUAAUCCUUAAUAAUAACAGGAUUGGAAUAAGGGAUAAAAGAAAGAGAAUUCCUUCUAUAUAUAUGUAUACACACACAUAUAUAUAUAUACAUGUGUAUAUAUGUGUGUGUAUGUAUAUUAUAUAAUAUACAUACACACACACAAAGAAUGUCAGACAAGGAGCAGCCACCAUUCUGCUUACUUUCACUGGAUUAAGAGUUUCAUAAGGGCAAGGGUUUUGUUUGUCUUACACUCCACUGGGGAUUAAUCUCCAGUGUCUAGAACAGUGCCUAACACAUAAAUAAAGCCUCAAUUAUUAUUUGUGGAAUGGAAUGGAAUUUGAGUGAAAUGGAAUGGGAAUAGAAUGGACUGGAAUGGAAAUAGAAGUGGGAAGGGGAAUGGAAGGGGAUAGAAGAGGAUUGAAGAGGACAGAAGGAGAUGGGAUAAGAUGGGAUGGGAUAGGAUCGAAUCUCAGGUCCAGGAGUCAGAAUAACUGAAUCCUAUUCCAGUUCUGCCAUCAACAAGUCCUGUGAAAUUUGGAAAGUCACUUAACCCUCUGGCCUUGUAGAAUAUCUCAGUGGGCAUGUCUGAUGUUUCUUCAUGGUUAGAUAUAGGUUGCAUGUUUUGGGCAAGAAUAUCACAGGAAUGAUGCUGUGUUCUCAGUGCACCCAGUCAGGUAAUGCAUGAUUUCAAUUUCUCUCAUUACUGAUGAUGUUAACUUUAAUCACUUAGUGAAUGAGAACAUGAGCAUCAUUUUGAAAGCAAACUGCAAAGUUUUGAUGUCAACAUUUUAGCAAUUACGUAUAAUUUCCCCCAAGGAUACUGGCUUUGAGAUAAUGUAAAUAUACAUGGGAAAGACAAAGCUCAAAUAAAGGAAAAAGACCCA